GCAAGGAAUUUUCCCCAAUGGGCGCAAGCCUGAGGGAGCAACGCCGCGUGCGGGAGGACGCCCUUCGGGGUGUAAACCGCUUUUCAGGGGGACGAAGCCAGUGACGGUACCCCUGGAAGAAGGCCCGGCUAACUACGUGCCAGCAGCCGCGGUAACACGUAGGGGCCGAGCGUUGUCCGGAGUUACUGGGCGUAAAGCGCGCGCAGGCGGCCCAGCACAUCUUUGGUGAAAGCCCCGGGCUUAACCCGGGAGGGUCCAGGGAGAUGGCUGGGCUGGAGGCAGGGCGAGGGCGGUGGAAUUCCGGGUGUAGUGGUGAAAUGCGUAGAGAUCCGGAGGAACACCAGUGGCGAAGGCGGCCGCCUGGACCUGUCCUGACGCUGAGGCGCGAAGGCGUGGGGAGCGAACGGG
rnacentral:rRNA from 1 species